rnacentral:rRNA from 1 species
GUGGGGAAUCUUGCGCAAUGGGCGAAAGCCUGACGCAGCCAUGCCGCGUGAAUGAUGAAGGUCUUAGGAUUGUAAAAUCCUUUCACCGGUGAAGAUAAUGACUGUAGCCGGCGAAGAAGCCCCGGCUAACUUCGUGCCAGCAGCCGCGGUCAUACGACGGGGGCUAGCGUUGCUCGGAUUUACUGGGCGAAGAGGGCGCGUAGGCGGACAUUUAAGUCAGGGGUGAAAUCCCGGGGCUCAACCUCGGAACUGCAUUGGAAACUGGGUGUCUUGAGUAUGAGAGAGGUGAGUGGAACUCCGAGUGUAGAGGUGAAAUUCGUAGAUAUUCGGAAGAACACCAGUGGCGAAGGCGACACACUGGCUCAUUACUGACGCUGAGGCGCGAAAGCGUGGGGAGCAAACAGGAUUAGAAACCCCGGUAGUCC